rnacentral:lncRNA from 1 species
GAGCUUCCCACAUCAUGGAUGGAUGGAAAACCACAGGGAAGACAUUCAUGCCACAGCUGGUGCUGAAGAUUGUUGGUGGGAAACAAAUUAAGCAUUUUACUAAUGGGAAAAAAAGUCCUACAGAUCAUCUUAAGGUAACAAACUGCUCGGAGCACAGACACAGUCCACCUAACAGAGUCACAGAUGGAGAUUCAAGCAGAAAAUCACCUUCUCAUGACCUGGAGCAUCUGAGACCAGUUGAGCACACAGAAAACCUUUUAGAUGCCCUCAGACAGGUAAUAAAAAAAAAAUCAACUACAUCAAAAACUACACUGACCGUUAAAUGCAAUAUUCAACUGACAAACUCAGUAAUUUUGAAAGACUUAACCAUUGUUUACCACUGUGUGAUCGUCACUGACCAGUUUUCAGAUGACUUAAGAGGUCAAAUGGUUGCACUGUCCGCGGAACUGAAACCUGGUACUUACCAAUCAAAAUACCAGCUCUGUCCAGGGUUCUGAAUCCACUUCCCAUUGUUACUAGAAGGAAAAAAUGUGCUAUAUAAUCUGAAGCUCGUGCAGAAGAUAGCUGGAUGCUAAGGUUUGGUAAUGAUCCAGGUUCCUGACAGACGGUGUGUGACGGCACCAUGUGGAGAUCGAUCACGAUCCUACAUACAUCUGAAGUCCACAAUCAACAUGAGUUACACAAAACAACUCAUGCAAAAUCCUCAUAUUACGGAGGCACAGGUAAGACAUAAUGUGCAUGCUGUCUUUAAUCAAAUCGAACAAACACUACUGUCCAAAAGUUUGAGGUCAGAAAUUGUUCAUGUUUUUAAAAGAAGUCUCAUCAAGGUUGCAUAUAUUUGCUUAAGUAUACAGUAAAAAAUUGUAAUAUUGUGAAAUAUUCCUACCAUUUAAAUUUAGUUUCUAUGAAUAUGUUGUUAAAAUGUACUAUUUAUUGCUAUGAUGCAA